CACCCCUCCUCCCCCCAUCUCCUCGCCGCCGCCAUCGACGGUGCUCCCCUCGAUCCCUCCCACCGCCGUCUCCCUCCCUCCGAUCGAGCUCCCCCUCCCCUCUCCCUCCCACCCCUCGAAGCUCCCGCAUCCCACCGCCGCGCACCGUGCUCCUCUGCAGCUUCUGCAGCGAUGCAGCCGCCGCUGACUACUCUCCUUCCCCCUUCCUCCAGCACUACUCUCCAACCUCGCCUCUCGCUUUGCCGCCCCGCGCCCCGCGCUCGCCGGGGCCCCGUAGCGCCGCUCAGUCCCUCACGCUCGGGCCCAACGAGGUCGUGCACGCGCUCACCGGCACACCCGUCUUCACCUUCUGCAACUCCAGCAACGCGUUUGUGCUCGUCUCCGACCCCGCCACUGGUCUCCACUCCCUCGGCCUCCUCUGCUUCUGCUCCGAGGACGCCGACGCCCUCCUCUUCGUCCGAGUUCGCCGGAACCACGACGGCCGGCGCGCCCGUGCGUGAGGAGACGACGACGACCCCGACAAGCCAUGCAGGGCCAGCAAGAAGGCCGCCGCCCCAGCAACAGCAGCAGCAGUACCCCCAAGGGACGAGACCACCGGCGCCCACCAGGAUCUCCGCCGCUGCAUCUUGGUAAUGAUCGCGUGAGAAAGCACCGCAUGUGGGCGGCUGCAUCUGAGGCUGAGGAAUUUGGUUCGAGGUGAGCGGGGAAUGGCUCAAGCCUAGAAGGGAUCUGAUGCGCCACUGUAGACAUACGAACACAGGAGGGGG
rnacentral:rRNA from 1 species